rnacentral:misc_RNA from 1 species
UUAACACUUUUUCCGGCAGACUUUUACCCAAUUCUUCGAUCACAAGAUAUCGCCGGCGUAGGAGUCGUCUCCGAAUUCCGAUAUCCAUGGAACCCAAAACUUCAAUCGUGUCAUCUUCAUCAUCCAAACCUUCAAACCCUAACCCUAAAAACAGAGAUUUCCUAAUCCAUCUCGAAGCUUACCUCGCCAAACGUGAUGGCGUUGACAAGUUGCUCAAAAUCUCCCGUUACGCAUCUAAGAUCAUCCUCGCAUCCUCCGUUAUCCCUGAUUCCCUGCCGUUAUCUCAGCGUCUGAAAUCCUUCGAGUCCAGUGUUGGUGUAAG